rnacentral:lncRNA from 1 species
GGCGGCUCGGGCACGCGGCUCGGCUGGGCCGGCUUGGUCCGGUUCGGUCACGCGGCCGGUUAACAGGCCGGUUCAGCCCAUUUGGCCGGGCCGGCCUCGGUUUUCUUUUUUUUUUCUUCUUUUCCUUUUUCUUUUUCCAUUUUCUGUUUUUGAACACCAAAAUUGAUUCAAAGCUACAAAUCACUCCAAAUAAAUUGCAACAAAAUUUGUAAAAUCAUAUUUUCAUAUGAUCUAACUUUUGGGACAAGAAUUCCCUCUAAAUAAAAUAUUUAAAAAUACUUUUUUCUAUAAAUUAGCCUUUAAGGCCUUUUAGACUAUCAAAAUAACUUGUUUUUCUAAACAAUUUCAAAAGCCAAAUUAUGGGAUGGCCUUAUAUAUGCAUUAAAUCCCUUUUUAUGCCAAAACACUCAUGGUUAAAAUGCAAUUAUUCAAAAGCAAGUACAAAGCCCAAAUUCAAAUAAGGGCACUUUUGUAAAAGGGUUU